rnacentral:rRNA from 1 species
GUUCGAUUAUGGCUCAGAUUGAACGCUGGCGGGAUGCUUUACACAUGCAAGUCGAACGGCAGCACGGACUUCGGUCUGGUGGCGAGUGGCGAACGGGUGAGUAAUGUAUCGGAACGUGCCUAAAUAGCGGGAAAUAACUACGCGAAAGCGUAGCUAAUACCGCAUACGCCAUUCGGGGGAAAGCGGGGGACCUUCGGGCCUCGCACUAUUAAAGCGGCCGAUAUCGGAUUAGCUAAUUGGUGGGGUAACGGCUCACCAAGGCGACGAUCCGUAGCUGGUUUGAGAGGACGACCAGCCACACUGGGACUGAGACACGGCCCAGACUCCUACGGGAGAGCAGCAGUGGGGAAUUUUUGGACAAUGGAAGCCUGAUCCAGCCAUCCCGCGUGUGCGAUGAGAGCCUUCGGGUUGUAAAGCACUUUUGGCAGGAAAGAAACGGCACGGGAUAAUACCCCGUGCAACUGACGGUCUGCAGAAUAAGCACCGGCUAACUACGUGCCAGCAGCCGCGGUAAUACGUAGGGUGCAAGAAGCGUUAAUCGGAAUUACUGGGCGUAAAAGCGAUGCGCGAGCAGUUCGGAAAAGAAGAUGUGAAAUCCCAGGCUUUAACUUUGGAACUGCAUUUUUAACUACCGAGCUAGAGUGUGUCAGAGGGAGGUGGAAUUCCGCGUGUAGCAGUGAAAUGCGUAGAUAUGCGGAGGAACACACCGAUGGCGAAGGCAGCCUCCUGGGAUAACACUGACGCUCAUGCACGAAAGCGUGGGAGCAAACAGGAUUAGAUACCCUGGUAGUCCACGCCUAAACGGGUCAACUAGCUGUUGGGGCCUUCAGGCCUUUGGUAGCGCAGCUAACGCGUGAAGUUGACCGCCUGGGAAAAUACAGUCGCAAGAUUAAAACUCAAAGGAAUUGACGGGGACCCGCACAAGCGGUGGAUGAUGGAUUAAUUCGAUGCAACGCGAAAAACCUUACCUACCUAUAACUGGAAUCCCGAAGAGAUUUGGGAGUGCUCGCAAGAGAACCGGAACACAGGUGCUGCAUGGCUGUCGUCAGCUCGUGUCGUGAGAUGUUGGGUUAAGUCCCGCAACGAGCGCAACCCUUGUCGUGGAUUGCUACGAAGGCUCUCUAAUGAGACUGCCGGUGACAAACCGGAGGAAGGUGGGGAUGACGUCAAGUCCUCAUGGCCCUUAUGGGUAAGAACUUCACACAUCAUACAAUGGUCAGGACAGGGGUCGCCAACCCGCGAGGGAGUAUCCCAGAGAGCGAUCUGAAUCCGGAUCGCGGUCUUGCAACUCGACUGCGUGAAGUCGGAAUCGCUAGUAAUCGCGGAUCAGCAUGUCGCGGUGAAUACGUUCCCGGGUCAUAGCCACACCGCCCGUCACACCAUGGGAGUGGGUUUUGCAAAAGUAGUUAGCCUAACCGUAAGGAGGCGAUUACCACGGUAGGAUUCAUGACUGGGGUGAAGUCGUAACAAGGUAG